rnacentral:rRNA from 1 species
UGGGGAAUAUUGGACAAUGGGCGAAAGCCUGAUCCAGCCAUGCCGCGUGUGUGAAGAAGGUCUUCGGAUUGUAAAGCACUUUAAGUUGGGAGGAAGGGCAGUAAGCGAAUACCUUGCUGUUUUGACGUUACCGACAGAAUAAGCACCGGCUAACUCUGUGCCAGCAGCCGCGGUAAUACAGAGGGUGCAAGCGUUAAUCGGAAUUACUGGGCGUAAAGCGCGCGUAGGUGGUUCGUUAAGUUGAAUGUGAAAGCCCCGGGCUCAACCUGGGAACAGCAUCCAAGACUGGCGAGCUAGAGUAGGGCAGAGGGUGGUGGAAAUUCCUGUGUGGCGGUGAAAUGCGAAGAUAUAGGAAGGAACACCAGUGGCGAAGGCGACCACCUGGGCUCAUACUGACACUAAGGUGCGAAGGCGUGGAGAGCAAACAGG